rnacentral:rRNA from 1 species
GCCAUGCAUGUCUAAGUACUUGCCGAAAUAAAGCGAAACCGCGAAUGGCUCAUUAAAUCAGUUAUGGUUCCUUGGAUCGUACUACGCUACUUGGAUACCUGUGGCAAUUCUAGAGCUAAUACAUGCAGCAGAGCUCCGACCUCAAGGGACGAGCGCUUUUAUUAGACCAAGACCGACCGGGCCUCGCGCCUGUCGAACGUGGUGACUCUGAAUAACUUUGUGCAGAUCGCACGGGCUAGUCCCGGCGACAUAUCUUUCAAGUAUCUGCCUUAUCAACUGUCGAUGGUAGCUCACGUGCCUACCAUGGUUUCGACGGGUAACGGGGAAUCAGGGUUCGAUUCCGGAGAGGGAGCCUGAGAAACGGCUACCACAUCCAAGGAAGGCAGCAGGCGCGCAAAUUACCCACUCCCGGCACGGGGAGGUAGUGACGAAAAAUAACAAUACGGGACUCUUUUGAGACCCCGUAAUUGGAAUGAGUACAUUCUAAAGUCCUUAACGAGGACCCAUUGGAGCAAAAGCCUGGUGCCAGCACGCGCGGUAAAACCAGUUCCAAUAGCUUAUAUUAAAGUUGUUGCGGUUAAAAAGCUCGUAGUUGGAUCUCAGUUCCGGCCGGAAGGUCCGCCCAACGGCGGUAACCGACCGCAGCCGAACAGCCAGCCGGUUCUCCGGGGUGAUCUUCGCCGGUUGCUCCGGGGGCCCGGCACGUUUACUUUGAAAAAAUUAGAGUGCUCAAGGCAGGCUUAUACAGCUUGAACAGUGGUGCAUGGAAUAAUGGAAUAGGACCUCGGUUCUAUUUUGUUGGUCUUCGGAAGACGAGGUAAUGAUUAAGAGGGACAGACGGGGGCAUUCGUACUGCGACGCU